rnacentral:rRNA from 1 species
GACGAACGCUGGCGGCGUGCUUAACACAUGCAAGUCGAACGGAAAGGCCCUGCUUUGCUGGGGUGCUCGAGUGGCGAACGGGUGAGUAACACGUGAGUAACCUGCCCUUGACUUUGGGAUAACCUCAGGAAACUGGGGCUAAUACCGGAUAGGAGCUCCUGCUGCAUGGUGGUGGUUGAAAAUUUUCCGCGGUUGGUGAUGAACGCGCGGCUUAUCAGCGUGUUGGUGGGGUAGUGGCUUCCCAACGCUUUCAGGGGUAGCGCGCCUGAGAGGGUGACGGCCCAUCUGGGGACUGAGAUACCGCCCAGACUUACGCGGGGGGCAGCAGUGGAGUAUUUUGCAAUGUGGGCGGGAGUGUGAUGCAGAAGCCGCGUGUGGGAGAUGACGGUUUGGGGUGUAUAAACCGCUUUCUCCUGUGACAAAGUGUUUGUGACGGUAAUGGGUGAAGAAGCACCGGCUAACUACGUG